GGUAGUGUGGCCGAGUGGUCUAAGGCGCUGCGUUCAGGUCGCAGUCGUGUUCUCACGUCGCGCGUUCGAAUCGCGUCACUACCA